rnacentral:lncRNA from 1 species
GCGCGCGCACACACAGAGAGCUAAACGCAGCCUCCCCUCUUUCUCCGGCGAAAACGCCGCCGCCUCUUUCCCAGCCCGACGCCACCUCUCAUCUCUCUUCCUCCCUCAUCGAUACACGCACACAAACACCUACGCAAACCCUUUUCCCUCUCUCUACUUCCUCUCUGCCACCGUUCGCCGGCGGAAAGCAUCCGCAGCAACAGCGGCGCUGCUUCAUCUCUCCUUUGACAUCCAACAGACCACAGCUCCAAACACACAUUGGCGCAUACUCACCAGGUGUUCGAUUAAAAGAGACAGAAAUUCGGUGGGGGAUUUUUGGGGCACCUAUUAAUUGAAUCCCCGAGCCGAUGGAAUUAUCCAAUUUUUUCAGGUUAGUUUCAACUGCCUUCCCCAUAAGAUUUUUGUUUUUUUCAGUUUUCACAUUAGGUUUCGUGUGGUAAGUGUUUUUGAUGAGGAUGUUUCUGGUUUCGUUCCCUUUGUUCUGAUUAUGGUAUGUAGGGUCUGAAAAUGUGGAAUAUUUAGUAUUUGAAUGGUGUUCUUGGUUCUGCCCACCAUUGAAUUGAUCUGCGUGUCUAUGAGGAAGAUGAAAUUCGAUGAUGAAGUAACCUAGCUACUAACUAACCAUAAUCCUUGAUUAGUUUAUUUGGUUAUCUGAGAUUAAUGACAUUGACUUGCCUGCCAGAAUUAUGACGAUUUUGAUCGUAAUUCAUCUGGUUUCUAAUAUUAACCCGAAAUUGGUGAUUAUUUGGUUAAAAUAAGAUUAAUACUUAUAUAUGAAUAUGGAUGAUUUAAUUUUUCAGAGUUCUCAAGGAGCUGAGAUGGGUGUUUGCUAGUUGCAUCGUUGGCAUGAGCGGUAUUGGUAAUAUAUGAUAAUAUUGAAAGAUAUUAUGGACUAGAUUAGGAUAUAUUUGAUAUAUUCUAAUAACACUUAAUUAAUUGGAAAUUAGUUGGACGAUUGGACCAAUUAUUUGGAGUAGAAUUGGUUUUCUUAGUAAGACAACUCUUUGGCUUAUAAGAGAAGACAACUCUUGGCUUACAAGGUAAGAGAAUUCUUUGGCUUAUAAGAAGGAGUUCUUGGUCUUACAAGUUGGGGGGUCUUUUGGCUUACAAGACACUAAGAGAGCACUAUAGUUUCAAUCGGAGAUUUCCUAGCUGUCAAAGAUUGAAUCGUGUACUUAGAAUUGUUCCUGCAUCGAAUCAACAUACACAUGGAUACCUUAGUAGUGGAUUCACGGCAAGAAUCGAGACGCACACUUACCACACAACGAGUAAGUUAUUUUUAUUGUUGUGUGCUUAUCUCUACACAUGAUGCAUUUGUAAAUCUAGAUCUAAUCCUUGAAUGUAUAUUCCGCUGUGUAUCAUUAGAUGAUGUCAAGGAUAACCAACAAUGGUAUCAGAGCCCGGGGCUCGAUUUACAAUUGUGAUUGUGUUCUAAUAACUUAUGGAUUAAGAAAUUUAAUUUGGUAAUAAAUAUGUUCAAAAUCUGUUUUGAAAUUGAUUUUUUUGAAAUGGUUUUGGACGUUUCUGAAAUUGGGUGAAUAUUGUCGGGCUAUAUUCAAACCUUCUUUGCUGGAUCACUGCUGCUGCCAUCGACCACCGCCGAUGCAGAGGGCGUGGGUGAUUGACGAGGCGGUGCAGGUGGGUCGGGGCUCGCCGGUGCGCCGCGCCCGACCACUCGCCGCCGUCUGCGUCGCGCCUCGAUUCAGAGACGCCGCUGUCCCUCUGCAACGCGUCCAUAAUGCGGGCUUGGAGUCCGGAAAUGGAGGGUGACUGAUGGUGGAGGUCUUGCACGCCUCCGGGCGGUGAACGGCGACAGGGAGCUUCGAGCUCUUGCCGGAGUGGUCGACGAACGGUAAGGAAGUAGGCUGGCAUUUGGAGACGUCGCCGCUUUUCUCCGACGCGGCUUCGAGCCGCGACCGGCGUGAAGACCAUCGGACGCGCGACGUCGCAGCAUCAAGCGACGGGAAGAAGAAAGCAGCAGCGGCUGCUGUUGUAAAACAGAUCCAAACCCUGUGGGUUUUGGGCCGCGGGUCCUUGGGCCUUGAGCUGGGCUUGUGCUUCCUUUGUUGGGCUGCCCCUGAUUCUAUGGGCUGCGAAAAUUAUUUAAUGAAAGGGGCUGGGCCUGCAUUUCAUUUAAAUGGUUUUGGACUGGCUGUAACAAAAAAAAAAAAACUUUUAUUAUUUUUGAAUUAAUAAUUGAACCCCAAUUUCAGAAUUAAUUUAUUAAUUGGAUUAAUAAAUUUAAAUUAUUGUUAUUAAUUUUGAAUUAAUAAUAAUAGAAAUAAAUUUAUAUUAAUUUAGAAUUAAUAUAAAUUGAUUAACCCAUAUUUAAUUAGAGAAUAAAAUAUUAAUUUGAUUAAUGAUUUUAUUCGUAGAUAUUUAUGUCUUUAUGUGAUAAGCAUGCUAUUUGAUUUUAUGCUUAUUAUUUAACUAUAGUAGUUAAAGACCGCAUUUAUCUUGGGUAGGCGGCGCUCAGUAUAUGUAGUCCACUUUGCUAUGUAUGGGUAGGCGGCGCCCAAUAUGUGUGGUCCGCAUUUUAUAUGCCUGGGUAGGUGGCAACUAGUAAUUGUUUUGCUAUUUAAUAUUGGAUAUUAAAUAUAAGCAAUUAGUAUCACAUACUAAUUGGAAGUUGGCUUUAAUUUAGUGGGAGUUUUGGUUUGAAUGUCUUAGAAACAAUUUGUAUUGAGACAUCCUUACCUGGUCACAUUUAUAUAUGUUAUUUGAUUUCAUGGGCUAGUGCAUUUAUUAGAAUAUUUGAUUUUAUUGUUUGACUUUAUUCUUUUAUUUGUUCCCUUGAAUUAUCACUAUUAAUGAUGUGAGACAUUAAUGGUUUGAGUGUAAUUCUAAAGAUGCCCUAACCAAUGGUCAUCAAGAAUGGAUAUUGAUGAUAUGCGAUAGGUUAGCAUGUGGUUUGCAUCAUAUUCUUAGAGAAUGUAGUUGAUCUCACAACUACGAGUAAUUUGAUUCUCGUGAUGGACACAUGAAUAUUUUGGAGAGUAUUGGUAUACCCUGCUAUUAAAUCAUUUGUUCUAGUGUCUAUGAUUUAAUAGUGUAUGGAGUAUGUAAUAGUCUUUUGACUUGAGGUCAAUACCCAUUUUGUUUGUUGAGUGGUGUGCUUUGACCAAGUACAAUGCUUGCACUCCAUCAAAGGGGUAGAUACGGCUUGUGUUGGGUACAUCAUGAGGCAAAUAGAAAUAGUAGUUGAGCCAAGAAUAUGAUUCAUUCCUCGAUUUGAAUUUCGAGAGAACCCUUCAAAUUCUCUAUAUUAUUUGACCGCAAGUUAUUGGCCAAUGCAAAAUUAUAUUCAAUUAGAGUAAUUGAAUGAUGCGUGUGAUUUAGUUAUCUAUUUUUGUGUCGUUUUCCCGUUGUUUUUGCUCGGAUAUUACCCGUUGUGUGCAAUUUUGACAUAGGGAUUGCAUGGAUGGAGGAGAAAGCUUGAAGAUGGGAGAAUGAAUGAAAGUCGAGAAAUUGGUUGAAGAAUUGGCGAAUUUGUGGAGAGAUUUAGAGAUUUGGGCUUUGGAGAUAUUUAUCUUGUAAUUUAAUUAAGUCAAAUACUCUUUUAAUUAAUUUUGGGCUUUAGUUAUUUUUUGGGAGGGGCCGAAACCCAUGAAAAUUAGGGUGUUCGGCCGCUUAAGAGUGAAUUCCCUUGAGUUUGAUUUCAAUUAGGACUCUUAGUUUAGAGGGAGCCGCAACUUUAGACUAGGAAUUAUAGUUGACUUUGAUUAGGAUUUGAGAUACACUUUUACAUUAUUUUAGCUUGGAGCAGACGUUUUUUUUACUUAUUAGAUUUAGACUUUUAUUUCAUGUUUUUGGGAGUUAAUUGCUUAGGGAUCGUACUUGGCAGGAGACAUCCCUUUCCUUUUGUUCCAAUUGCGGUGAUCUCUUUCAAUUUUAAUUGCAAUUUACUUAUUUUAUUUUCUUGUUUCAUGUUUACUUUAAUUUAUUUGCUUGUUCUUUGUUUAAUUAUGAAUAGCUAAACUUUAAAUUCGGCAAGAAUAAAGAAGCACUAAUUUAAUAAUCUGUGAG